rnacentral:rRNA from 1 species
UACGAAGGGGGCUAGCGUUGUCGGAUUACUGGGCGUAAAGCGCACGUAGGCGGAUCGUUAAGUCGGGGGUGAAAUCCUGGAGCUCAACUCCAGAACUGCCUUCGAUACUGGCGAUCUUGAGUCCGGAAGAGGUGAGUGGAACUCCUAGUGUAGAGGUGGAAUUCGUAGAUAUUAGGAAGAACACCAGUGGCGAAGGCGGCUCACUGGUCCGGUACUGACGCUGAGGUGCGAAAGCGUGGGGAGCAAACAGG